ACCAGGAUGGCCGAGUGGUUAAGGCGUUGGACUUAAGAUCCAAUGGGCAGUAGCUCUCGUGGGUUCGAACCCCACUCCUGGUA
rfam:Tetraodon nigroviridis chromosome 21 SCAF15022, whole genome shotgun sequence.